rnacentral:rRNA from 1 species
GACGAGGCACUACGGUGCUGAAGCAACAAAUGCCCUGCUUCCAGGAAAAGCCUCUAAGCAUCAGGUAACAUCAAAUCGUACCCCAAACCGACACAGGUGGUCAGGUAGAGAAUACCAAGGCGCUUGAGAGAACUCGGGUGAAGGAACUAGGCAAAAUGGUGCCGUAACUUCGGGAGAAGGCACGCUGAUAUGUAGGUGAAGUCCCUCGCGGAUGGAGCUGAAAUCAGUCGAAGAUACCAGCUGGCUGCAACUGUUUAUUAAAAACACAGCACUGUGCAAACACGAAAGUGGACGUAUACGGUGUGACGCCUGCCCGGUGCCGGAAGGUUAAUUGAUGGGGUCAGCGCAAGCGAAGCUCUUGAUCGAAGCCCCGGUAAACGGCGGCCGUAACUAUAACGGUCCUAAGGUAGCGAAAUUCCUUGUCGGGUAAGUUCCGACCUGCACGAAUGGCGUAAUGAUGGCCAGGCUGUCUCCACCCGAGACUCAGUGAAAUUGAACUCGCUGUGAAGAUGCAGUGUACCCGCGGCAAGACGGAAAGACCCCGUGAACCUUUACUAUAGCUUGACACUGAACAUUGAGCCUUGAUGUGUAGGAUAGGUGGGAGGCUUAGAAGUGUGGACGCCAGUCUGCAUGGAGCCGACCUUGAAAUACCACCCUUUAAUGUUUGAUGUUCUAACGUUGACCCGUAAUCCGGGUUGCGGACAGUGUCUGGUGGGUAGUUUGACUGGGGCGGUCUCCUCCUAAAGAGUAACGGAGGAGCACGAAGGUUGGCUAAUCCUGGUCGGACAUCAGGAGGUUAGUGCAAUGGCAUAAGCCAGCUUGACUGCGAGCGUGACGGCGCGAGCAGGUGCGAAAGCAGGUCAUAGUGAUCCGGUGGUUCUGAAUGGAAGGGCCAUCGCUCAACGGAUAAAAGGUACUCCGGGGAUAACAGGCUGAUACCGCCCAAGAGUUCAUAUCGACGGCGGUGUUUGGCACCUCGAUGUCGGCUCAUCACAUCCUGGGGCUGAAGUAGGUCCCAAGGGUAUGGCUGUUCGCCAUUUAAAGUGGUACGCGAGCUGGGUUUAGAACGUCGUGAGACAGUUCGGUCCCUAUCUGCCGUGGGCGCUGGAGAACUGAGGGGGGCUGCUCCUAGUACGAGAGGACCGGAGUGGACGCAUCACUGGUGUUCGGGUUGUCAUGCCAAUGGCAUUGCCCGGUAGCUAAAUGCGGAAGAGAUAAGUGCUGAAAGCAUCUAAGCACGAAACUUGCCCCGAGAUGAGUUCUCCCUGACUCCUUGAGAGUCCUGAAGGAACGUUGAAGACGACGACGUUGAUAGGCCGGGUGUGUAAGCGCAGCGAUGCGUUGAGCUAACCGGUACUAAUGAACCGUGAGGCUUAACCUU